GGGAUAGUUCACUUUGAAAUUAAUUUUUGGUAUGUUUUAGCUUACCUCAAGGGCAUCCAAGAUGUAGGUGUCUUUGUUUCCACAGUAUUUUCAAUUUUGACAUUUUUGGGUCAAACCGUUGUUGUCUGUCAGUCAUAUAAUGCAGGUCUAUGGUCACCACCUCAAAGAGCAUGCACAGAGAAGUCCAAAUUAAACAUGAUUUAAUGACUCGUAAA